CCCCUGGGUGUCCCCGUGCCACCCGGGGCUGGGGCGUCUGGGUGUCACCUGCCCCCUGGGGUGUCCCCAGGUCCCCUGGGUAUCCCCGUGUCCCCUGGGUGUCCCCCUGUGCCCUGGGGUGUCCCCGUGUCACCCUGGAUUGGGACAUUUUGGUGUCCCUUGGGUGUCCCCACGUCCCCUGGGGUGUCCCCAGGUCCCCUGGGUGUCCCCCUGUGCCCUGGGGUGUCCCCACGUCCCCUGGGGUGUCCCCACAUUACCCUAGGUUGGGACGUUCUGGCGUCCCCGUGUCACCCUGAGCGUCCCCGUGUCACCCUGAGCGUCCCCGUGUCACCCCGCGGCUGGGCCCGUCCCGCUGCCACCCUCGGCUGGGGACCUCUCGGUGUCCCCCGCGCUGUCCCCAGCGGGAGGGGACUCAGCGAGCCCAGCGGCUCCAAAAAGCUCCAAAAUCGGCUUUUUUUAUUACAAA
rnacentral:lncRNA from 1 species